AGAGCGCAGGGUGAAUGCCUUGGCACCAGGAGCCGACGAAGGACGUGGCAAGCUGCGAAAAGCUGCGGUAAGGCGCAAACAGCCAUCGACCCGCAGAUGUCCGAAUGGGGAAACCCACCUGAGGUAAAUGCUCAGGUACGUAUACGUAAAUACAUAGCGUAUACGAGGUAAACGCAGGGAACUGAAACAUCUAAGUACCUGCAGGAAAAGAAAUCAACAGAGAUUCCGUAAGUAGCGGCGAGCGAACGCGGAAGAGGCCAAACCGGUUCUAGGAACUAGAGACUAGAGACUAGGGACUAGAGAAAAGAGAGGCUGCGAAGCCGAACUUAAAUCUAGCGACUAGCAACUAGCACCUAGUUCCUAGAACCGGGGUUGCGGACUGGUAUAAUGAUUCACGGAUUCUAACAGAAUGAGCGGAUGGAAAGCCGAGACCACAGAGGGUAAAAGUCCCGUAAGUGAAAGAUGAAGUGACAGACCAGUAUCCAGAGUACCACGAGACACGUGAAACCUUGUGGGAAGCCGGGGGGACCACCCUCCAAGCCUAAAUACUACCUGGUGACCGAUAGUGAAGCAGUACCGUGAGGGAAAGGUGAAAAGAACCCCGGGAGGGGAGUGAAAAAGAACCUGAAACCUUAAGCCUAUAAGCAGUGGAAGCGCAAAAGCGUGACCGCGUACUUUUUGUAGAACGGGCCAACGAGUUACAAUAUGCAGCAAGGUUAAUAACUGAGAGGUUAGGAGCCGAAGGGAAACCGAGUCUGAAGAGGGCAAGAGUUGUAUGUUGUAGACCCGAAACCGGGUGACCUAUCCAUGUGCAGGUUGAAACUAGAGUAAAAUCUGGCGGAGGACCGAACCCAUUAGCGUUUAAAAGCUACGGGAUGACGUGUGGAUAGCGGUGAAAUUCCAAUCGAACCCGGAGAUAGCUGGUUCUCCUCGAAAUAGCUUUAGGGCUAGCCUCAGACAGGAUACACGGAGGUAGAGCACUGAAUUCCCAAGGGGGCGUCAAAGCUUACCAAAGGAUAUCAAACUGCGAAUGCCGUGAUACCGAUGUCUGGGAGUCAGACCAUACGAGAUAAGUUGGAUGGUCAAAAGGGAAACAGCCCAGAUCUGCAGCUAAGGUCCCAAAGUGCGUGUUAAGUGGAAAAGGAUGUGGGAUUUCAAAGACAACCAGGAUGUUGGCUCAGAAGCAGCCAUACAUUAAAAGAGUGCGUAACAGCUCACUGGUCGAGAGGUUCUGCGCCGAAAAUGUCCGGGGCUAAAACACGACACCGAAGCUCAGGAAUGAUUGUAAGAUCAUUGGUAGAGGAGCAUUGUCAGAACGAAGAAGCGGUACCGGAAGGGGCCGUGGAGAUCUGAGAAGAGAGAAUGCCGGAAUGAGUAGCGAGAGAGAGGUGAGAAUCCUCUCGGCCGAAUAUCCAAGGUUUCCAGAGUAAAGCUGAUCUUCUCUGGGUAAGUCGGGACCUAAGGCGAGGGCGAAAGCCGUAGUCGAUGGAAAGCAGGUGGAGAUUCCUGCACUGCAGUAAAACAGAACUGUGGGGACAUGUGUGGAGAGCACGGGCGCGGAAUGGAAAGCCGCGUGCAAGCGAAGGAGGAGUGCUGCAGGUAAAACCGCAGUACAAUCCAAAGACGUGAAGCGGACCGAAGUAAAGUAGGGAAGCGUGUGAGCCAUGGAUCAAGAAAAGCCGCUAUUGUUUUUAUUGUACCCGUACCGUAAACCGACACAGGUAGAUGAGGAGAGAAUCCUAAGGCCGACGGAAGAAGCAUUGUUAAGGAACUCGGCAAAAUGGCCCCGUAACUUCGGGAGAAGGGGUGCCUGGCGAAAGUCAGGCCGCAGAGAAAAGGCUCAAGCAACUGUUUAGCAAAAACACAGGUCUAUGCGAAACCGAAAGGUGAAGUAUAUGGGCUGACGCCUGCCCGGUGCUGGAAGGUUAAGAGGAGAGGUCAGGGAGUAAUCCCGAAGCUUUGAAUUUAAGCCCCAGUAAACGGCGGCCGUAACUAUAACGGUCCUAAGGUAGCGAAAUUCCUUGUCGGGUAAGUUCCGACCCGCACGAAAGGCGUAAUGAUUUGGGCACUGUCUCGACAAUGCACCCGGUGAAAUUGAAAUACCAGUGAAGAUGCUGGUUACCCGCGCCAGGACGGAAAGACCCCAUGGAGCUUUACUCUAGCUUGAUACUGGGAUCCGGUGAUGCAUGCACAGGAUAGGUGGGAGGCAUUGAAUUCGUAAUUCCGGUUGCGAAGGAGCCAAUGUUGGGAUACCACCCUUGUGUUACUGGAUUUCUAACAUUCAGCCGUGAUCCGGCUGGUGGACAAUGUCAGGCGGGGAGUUUGACUGGGGCGGUCGCCUCCGAAAGGGUAUCGGAGGCGCUCAAAGGUUCCCUCAGAAUGGUUGGAAACCAUUCGAAGAGUGCAAAGGCAAAAGGGAGCUUGACUGUGACACCGACGGGUGGAGCAGGUACGAAAGUAGGACUUAGUGAUCCGGUGGUAUAAAGUGGGAUUGCCAUCGCUCAACGGAUAAAAGCUACCCUGGGGAUAACAGGCUUAUCACUCCCAAGAGUUCACAUCGACGGAGUGGUUUGGCACCUCGAUGUCGGCUCAUCGCAUCCUGGGGCUGUAGUAGGUCCCAA
rnacentral:rRNA from 1 species